GACGGGGAGGUUUGGCACCUCGAUGUCGGCUCAUCGCAUCCUGGGGCUGUAGUCGGUCCCAAGGGUUGGGCUGUUCGCCCAUUAAAGCGGUACGCGAGCUGGGUUUAGAACGUCGUGAGACAGUUCGGUCCCUAUCCGUCGCGGGCGCAGGAAAUUUGAGAGGAGCUGUCCUUAGUACGAGAGGACCGGGAUGGACGCACCGCUGGUGUACCAGUUGUUCUGCCAAGGGCAUCGCUGGGUAGCUAUGUGCGGACGGGAUAAGUGCUGAAAGCAUCUAAGCAUGAAGCCCCCCUCAAGAUGAGAUUUCCCAUUCCUAUAAGGAAGUAAGAUCCCUGAAAGAUGAUCAGGUUGAUAGGUCUGAGGUGGAAGUGUGGCGACACAUGGAGCUGACAGAUACUAAUCGAUCGAGGACUUAACCUA
rnacentral:rRNA from 1 species